UGGGGAAUAUUGCGCAAUGGGGGAAACCCUGACGCAGCAACGCCGCGUGAAGGAUGAAGGUUUUCGGAUCGUAAACUUCUAUCGAUGGGGAAGAAAAAAAUGACGGUACCCAAGUAAGAAGCCCCGGCUAACUACGUGCCAGCAGCCGCGGUAAAACGUAGGGGGCAAGCGUUAUCCGGAAUUACUGGGUGUAAAGGGUGAGUAGGCGGUUUAUAAAGUCAUGUGUGAAAUUCUUAGGCUUAACUUAGGAACUGCACAAGAAACUUAUGAACUAGAGUACAGGAGAGGUAAGCGGAAUUCCUAGUGUAGCGGUGAAAUGCGUAGAUAUUAGGAAGAACACCAGUGGCGAAGGCGGCUUACUGGACUGAAACUGACGCUGAGUCACGAAAGCGUGGGGAGCGAACA
rnacentral:rRNA from 1 species